rnacentral:rRNA from 1 species
CUUCCUACGGGAGGCAGCAGUGAGGAAUAUUGGUCAAUGGACGCAAGUCUGAACCAGCCAUGCCGCGUGCAGGAAGACGGCUCUAUGAGUUGUAAACUGCUUUUGUACGAGGGUAAACUCGGAUACGUGUAUCCGUUUGAAAGUAUCGUACGAAUAAGGAUCGGCUAACUCCAUGCCAGCAGCCGCGGUAAUACGGAGGAUGCGAGCGUUAUCCGGAUUUAUUGGGUUUAAAGGGUGCGUAGGCGGAUUUUUAAGUCAGCGGUAAAAUGUCCGGGCUCAACCCGGGCCGGCCGUUGAAACUGGGG